AACGCACAUUGCGCCCGCCAGUAUUCUGGCGGGCAUGCCUGUCCGAGCGUCAUUUCCCCCCUCACGCGCCCCGUUGCGCGCUGGUGUUGGGGCUCCUCCGCCUGGCGGAGGGCCCCGAAAGCGAGUGGCGGGCCCGGCUGGUUGGCUCCGAGCGCAGUACCGAACGCAAGUUCUCCCCUCGCCCGGACGCCCCGCCGGCGCCCUGCCGUCAAAACGCGCAUGACGUGCAACUCUUUUUUACAAGGUUGACCUCGGAUCAGGUAGGACUACCCGCUGAACUUAA
rnacentral:misc_RNA from 1 species